rnacentral:rRNA from 1 species
UUUACCAGCGAGUGGCGGACGGGUGAGUAACACGUAGGUAACCUGCCCCAAAGCGGGGGAUAACAUUUGGAAACAGAUGCUAAUACCGCAUAACAAUUUGAAUCGCAUGAUUCAAAUUUAAAAGAUGGCUUCGGCUAUCACUUUGGGAUGGACCUGCGGCGCAUUAGCUUGUUGGUAGGGUAACGGCCUACCAAGGCUGUGAUGCGUAGCCGAGUUGAGAGACUGAUCGGCCACAAUGGAACUGAGACACGGUCCAUACUCCUACGGGAGGCAGCAGUAGGGAAUCUUCCACAAUGGGCGCAAGCCUGAUGGAGCAACACCGCGUGAGUGAAGAAGGGUUUCGGCUCGUAAAGCUCUGUUGUUAGAGAAGAACGUGCGUGAGAGCAACUGUUCACGCAGUGACGGUAUCUAACCAGAAAGUCACGGCUAACUACGUGCCAGCAGCCGCGGUAAUACGUAGGUGGCAAGCGUUAUCCGGAUUUAUUGGGCGUAAAGCGAGCGCAGGCGGUUUGAUAAGUCUGAUGUGAAAGCCUUUGGCUUAACCAAAGAAGUGCAUCGGAAACUGUCAGACUUGAGUGCAGAAGAGGACAGUGGAACUCCAUGUGUAGCGGUGGAAUGCGUAGAUAUAUGGAAGAACACCAGUGGCGAAGGCGGCUGUCUGGUCUGCAACUGACGCUGAGGCUCGAAAGCAUGGGGUAGCGAACAGGAUUAGAUACCCCUGGGUAGUCCAUGCC